GGAUUACAGGCGUGAGACAGCAUGCCCAGCCCCUAGGAUUGCUUUCGUCAAGUUUGAUUCUUCACCUUUAUCUGAUUCUUGAUUUGUACACAUAUAGCUUUUUCACUUUGUAUUCAUAGAAACAAAAGACUCAGAACCGUGUUGCCAUUUGGUGCCAUGUGACCUAGAUUUGGAUGAGGUAUUGGUCAGCAAAGGCCAUGUUAUACUGCAGUAACAAACAUCCUCAUGCUCAUAAUGGCUUAAUAUAAGAAAAGUUUAUUUUUCCUCUUGCUAUGUGUCCAAUGUAGAUUAAAAGAGCCUUUCUUAAUCGUCCUCACUAGUGGUUAUCUGCUGAUGGAGAUUCCAACUUGGGAUUCCAUGACUGUCAAUGUAGAGAGAAAGGGGGAAUGAAUCAAGCACAGUUACUUAAAUGCUUCUUCUGGAAGAGACAUUCAUUACUCUUACUCAUGUUUAAGCCAAGUCAUGUGGCCUUUUUUUACUUUAGGGAGUGGGGAAGUGAGCCCUCCCACACCCCUAGAGAAGGAGAGCCAGGGUUUUAUAAACAGCUCUAAUAACUAGCCCAGAUGGUCUCCCUGAAGUCAGGUAGGGUCCUUGCUUCUCCUGGACCAAUAAUAAAAUAGGAUCCAGGCUGAUUCAUUUUUCUCUUAGGUGAACUAACUUCUUUUCUUGGAAAGAAACGAUGUCAUAUCUUAUUGUGCAGCUUAGAAGGUUAACAUGUACAAGAAAUAUCUGUGCUUUGAAAAAGAUAACACAAAAUUUUAUUCUUUAAAAUGAUAUGUACUUGGAGAUAAUACCCUUAAAAAUAAGCAAUGUCCUUUUUUAGUUAUUUCUUGCUUCUAAUGUUACCUGGAAAAAGUCUUACAUUGCUCAUGCUCUUGUUAGGAGUUAUUAACUUUAUUUUUAACCUAUAAUCCAUAAUUAUCACUGAGCUCCAGGAAGUUGAAAUUUUGUUCAUAUUGUAGAUGUGAAAUUUGGCUUUCCAAGGUGAACUGAACCUUCAAAUAUGUAAAAUAUAUUUUAAGAAAUUGCAUGCAUAUGUUUAAAUUUCAGCCAAAUAAAAGUCCUCUUGUGAUUUUCUAAAACAUUUAUCAUAUUUUCUACCAAAUAGGAUCGACAGAACUUGACUUAGAAAGCUGGCACACAGCUUCACGGAAGCAGCUUCUAGAGGAAUGCUAUCCAACAUAACUUUCUGUGAUGACAGAAAUGUACUACAGCUGCCUUGUCCAAUAAGGAGCCAUGGAAGUCAAAUGCUGAGGAUGGUGGCAUCAUAGGAUGAAUGGAGCUGGGUUCUUGAAACACUGCCUGGAGGAAAGACAGCAAAAAUGCCUCAUGAAUCCAACUGGACUGUUAGGAUGCUCACCCUUGGAGACCAGCAACAAUGUGUGCAGAAACCCAGGCCAUGUGGAGAGGCCCCACAUACGUGUCCAACUGAGGUCCCAGCUGACAGCUGGCAUUGACAUAAUGUUCACUCUGGGGGAAGCCAGCUGCCACGCUGUAAGGACACUCGGGCAGUCCUAUGAAGAGGCCCGUGUGGUGAGAAAGAGAGGCCUCCAGCCAACAGCCAUAGAUGGGGUCUUGCUAUGUUUCCCAGUUGGAGUGCAGUGAUUAUUCACAGACAUGAUCCCACUACUGAUCAGCAUGGGAGUUUUCACCUGCUCCAUUUCCCACCUGGGAGGUCAUCAUAUUGAUGGCGAGCUAAGUGUGGACACCUGAUCAGCAUAGCACAGUACAGCCCAGAACCCCUGGGCUCCAGUGAUCCUCUUACUUCAGCCUCUUGAGUAGCUGGAACUACAGGCCUGCACCACUGCACCCGGCUAGUUUGUUUUUGUUAGAGUUUUGUCUCUAGGAUUUUCCUCAGCUGAGUAUGUGAAGGCUAACUUCUCCUUGUGAAUCUGCAAAUAUCCUUAUUUUACCCUUUAUUUUACCAUGUAUCAUUUACAGGUAAAUGAUAUCUUAGCUGUGUAUUGAAUUUCUGUUUUUUGUUUUUUCUUCAGUACUCUAUAAAUAUUACUCCAGUAUCUUCUAGCUUCUCCCAUUUUCUCCUAGUGAAUGGUUAUUCUGCUCUUAUCUAGCAGGUGAUAAAUCUGUCAACAGAUAGUUUUUCCUUUUUGUUUUAUGUGUAAGUUGUUAUUUCUUCCUUAAAGUUCAUAAUCUUUUCCCAUUUAUUCUCUAAAUUUUAGACUAUAACCAGGAUGUGUUUAGGUUGAUAUCUUUGCUUAUCUAUUCUGCCUGGAAAUCAGGAACCUCUUCCAAUAUUCAGACUUGUGUUUUCAGCUCAGAAUAAUUAUUUUAUCAUUUGUUUGAUUAUUCCUUUAGUUGCACUGGAUCUUAGUUAAAAUGCCCAUUCUGAUUCAAAGUAUCUGGAAGGCAAGUAUUUGUCAACUAAGGGAAAGGUGACCAUGCAUCAUUGGUUUUGCUGAGACUACCUGGUUUACACCUUCAGGCUUUAUACUUAGAAAAUAUUGCGAUCAUCUUCUGGUCAUGAAGUUACAAACUUCAGGACAAAGGCUAACCAGCUAAGACUAGCAGAGCAAAUUCCAAGAACUUGGGGCUUUAAUUAACUUGAAUUGAUUUGGACUUGCCCUACCUUUAACUUCACACUGAGAUAAAAAUUCCCCACAUUUUCAAGCCAUUUUUGAGAUGAGUCUCUUAUGGUUGAAAGCAUCCUAAUUUAUACAACAUCCUUUUGGUACCUAACUAAAUAUUCACCAAUAUUUGGCACAUUUGUUAAAUCUUUUGGUGUGUGCCUCUUCUAUGUAAUGUAAAUAUGGUCUGAAUAUCCAUUCAGAAAUUAUAGUUGAUUUGCAAAAAUAACUACUAUAUCACCUAUAUUAAUUGAUAGUUAUUCCUUCCCAACCUUCUUUCACUCUUCCAUAUAUAUACAGAGUAAAUCUACAUCAUUAUGUUGAUUAAACAAAAUAGCAGUGAAAUCAGGAUGUUACUGCUCAUUGUGCAUUUAUUUCAAUUAUGGAAAAAGCCAACACUUUACUCCCUUAUUUAACACUUCUGUAGAAAAGCAGUUGAAAUAACCUAGUGUCAUUCUAAAAUGAUUUGUAUACUAUGUAGACCAGAAUCUAGGGCUAUACCUAAAAAUACAUAAAUGAAAUUAUUCUAGAAGUUAAAUCUUCAUGAAAAAACAAAUUAAAUGGUUUACUAACCUCAAGCUGAUUAAAUGUUUUUAUUAAAUGCAGCCUCAGCCAGCACCUCUUUUCAUGGCUGCAAUAAUUAAGUAUAAUAAAUAUUCAAAUCAGUAAUUGAAUUUGUUAAAAAAAACAUGCUCAGCUCAGUGAAGACUUUCUAAUAAAUAGAAUUCAGGUACCAUAUUUUCAUACUUCAUGACACUUGCCUCAUCUUAGUUUGAUGACUGCCGUUUCUUGCACUGUAACAAGAUUUUAUUUUUAUUUUGUUUUACGCUAUUCAAACAAAUACAUUCAAAGUCAUAGGCUACACCUAUGUAUAACCAUAUUCUGAGAGUUGGCUUAUGUGUUUGUUUAUUUUCUCACAAUUAAAGAUAGGUCAGAUGUUGCCAAAUUAGUAAAUAACUAAACUUGAGAUGGGAAAUACUCUAGAGACACAAUCUGCUUAGUUUUGCAUAGUUUUGCAUAGUUUUAGUCACUUUUCCCGUUACUCUGUCCAGCUUUCCAGUAAUACUCAUAACAUUGCCUUGAUUUCAUAUGACCACGCAGUAAAGUGAUUACUGCACUUAGAAUUUUGUUGCUUUUGCUGUGCUAACAACUUAAAAGUUUAAAAUAACUGAUGUUCAAAACAGUGAAGAUUUCCUUUUAUAAACAAGUUGGAAAGGAAAGUUUUUAUGUUAUUAUCCUCAAGUAUUCUAACUAAUAUAAAAUGUCUUUCAGUCUUUUAGGCAAACCAUUUAGACAAAAAGUACAAAUAAUAAAUUUACAUUGUGUUAAGCUGCGAUCAUAUUUCUUUCUCUUGAUUUACUUUUGAAAUUUUCCUUAUGCACCUGGUGAUACUGAAAGAUGAGUCAAAUAGUGUAAUACAAUAGGGCAAUAUGAACUUCUGUUGUAGUUUCCAUUAGUUGCAUCAAUUCAAAUUGCACCUGGAAAAGAUCUAAGCACGACAUAAAGCCAAGACAGCACAUAAGGGUGAUGGCAAACAAUAAUAAUAUUUACAUCUUUUUUUUUUUUUUUUUUGGAGACAGAAUCUCACUCUGUCGGCCAGGCUGGAGUGCAGUGGCGUGAUCUCGGCUCACUGCAACCUCCGCCUCCUGGGUUCAAGCGAUUCUCCUGCCUCAGCCUCCUGAGUAGCUGGGACUACAGGGUCCUGCCACGAUGCCCAGCUAAUUUUGGUAUUUUUAGUAGAGACGGGGUUUCACCAUAUUGGCCAGGAUGGUCUCAAACUCCUGACCUUGUGAUCCACCCAAUCUUCAUUGCAUCAUUUAACUUUCAUUGGUAUCACAGUAAUUCACUAACAUUCAUUCCUUACAGGCAGUUAUGAAUAAUUGAAAAAUUUUUAACAUCAUCUCAUGGGCAAAAGAAUAUUUAUUCAUUGGCUUAGCUUAACAAAUCAUUAUUAAACACCUACUGUGUGCCAGGCACUGUUCUAGACACUGGAGUUACAGCAGUGAACAAAAUAAACACGCUCUCCAGUCUGGUGGAGUUCACAUACUGGUGCGGGGAGAGAGAUGCAUACAAACAAAAAUGCAUAUUUAAUACUUCACCAAUUGAUAGGUGCUAUGAAGAAAAAUAAACCAUAGUAAGGAUGACAUAGAGUGCUGGAUGGAGGUUUUAGUACAUAUACGUUAGCCAGAGAAGGCAUCUCUGAGAAGUUGCCAUUUGAGAAAAAGAGGGAGUAGGCUCAGUGGAUUCUGAGGGAAGAAUAAGUUUGAGAUUCUGAGUCAUUCAUGUCCUUGGCAGAUCAAUAAAGAGGAAGCAGAUGCUGUGGCCGGAACUCAGUGUGCAUGUUGGGGCAGUGGUAGGAGGCUAUGGUUGUAAGACAGGGCUACCUCCCAUAGGGUCUUGAAGACCAUAGUAAAGACUGUGGCAUCUCCUCUCCAGUAGUUUGAGCAGAGGAAUGGUAGCAUUCUACUUAGGAUUUAAAAGGUUUGCUCUAGCUGAUUUGUGGAGAAUAGGUUUGUAAGGCAGCAUAGUGAAUGAAAGGAGAAAAGUUAGGCGAUUGCAAACAUCCAGGUGAGAGUUGAUAUCAGACGGUGAUGGUGUCACAGAUGCGUUUCAUGCGAUGGGCUCAAUUAAUGGCCUCCAUGUUUCACCCUUCUCUUUCUUGGGACUGGCUUGCCUGCUGGAAGGUGAGGAAACAGCCUGUCAUCCCAGCUGAGGCCAUCCUAGAUCAGCCAACUGUCAGCUGCUUGUGUGUCAGUGAACCCCAGCCAAGACCGGAAGACCUGCCCAGCUGAGCUCAGCCAAGAUCAGCAAAACCUCUCAGCUUAUAACCUUAUAAACUUACCAAUUUAGGUGUGGUUGUGACACAGAAUUAUUGUAUUAUUGUAUGCAUGGUGAGUAUUGUAUAUUACACAUGGGAAUCAUAGAAACAGUGAAAAGCCAGUAAUUUCUGAGUAUAUAUUAAAGUUAGGGCAAAUUGUGUGAGGUGGAGAAGCCACAUACUCCAAAUUUCUGGCCUGAGACAUUGGAAGAAUGAAUAUGGAUGAUGGAGGUGGAUAUUGAAUCUGAAAUGAAUUUUUCAUUUUGUGAAAUUUUGUGAAGUUUCAUUUUGUGUUGAAUAUCUUG
rnacentral:lncRNA from 1 species